AUUUGAGAGGAGCUGUCCUUAGUACGAGAGGACCGGGAUGGACGGACCUCUGGUGUUCCGGUUGUCAUGCCAAUGGCAAUGCCGGGUAGCUAUGUGCGGAGAGGAUAACCGCUGAAGGCAUCUAAGCGGGAAGCCCACCCCAAGAUGAGAUCUCCCAGGGAGCAAUCCCUCUAAAGGUCUGUGGUAGACUACCACGUCGAUAGGCUGGAGGUGUAAGCGCAGUAAUGCGUUCAGCUGACCAGUACUAAUUGACCGUGUGUCUUGACCC
rnacentral:rRNA from 1 species